AACGCACCUUGCGCCCCUUGGUAUUCCGAGGGGCAUGCCUGUUUGAGUGUCAUUGUACUCUUUCAACUUUGACCAUUUUUGGGUCUUAGCUUGGACAAUGGAGGGUGUGCUGGCUGCUCGUCGGUCAGCUCCUCUGAAAAGUAUUAGCAAAGAGAAGUGCACUGAUCCUGCGUCUUAUGCUUCUGGCAUUGAUAAUUGUCUAUGCCUCAUGUGGCUGGGAUGCUGUUCGAUGUCUUUUCUUGCUUCCAGUUGUCAUAAACAUGACCCUUUGACCAAUCACCUCAAAUCAGGUAGGACUACCCGCUGAACUUAA
rnacentral:misc_RNA from 1 species